rnacentral:rRNA from 1 species
AGGGGUUUGGAUCCUGGGCUCAGAAUGAACGCUGGCGGCGUGCUUAACACAUGCAAGUCGAACGAGAAAGUCUCUUCGGAGACGAGUAAAGUGGCGAACGGGUGAGUAACACGUGAGAAUCUGCCCUUUAGAGAAGGAUACCCUAGAGAAAUUUAGGUUAAUACUGCAUAAGCCCUGCGGGGGAAAGACGGCCUCUUGCUGUCGCUAAAGGAUGAGCUUGCGUACUAUUAGUUAGUUGGUGGGGUAAAGGCCUACCAAGACGAUGAUGGUUAGCCGGCCUGAGAGGGUGAUCGGCCACAUUGGGACUGAGAUACGGCCCAGACUCCUACGGGAGGCAGCAGUGGGGAAUAUUGCACAAUGGGGGAAACCCUGAUGCAGCAACGCCGCGUGGAGGAUGAAGGUUUUCGGAUUGUAAACUCCUGUCGAGAGGGAAGAAAUGCCCGUGAGUAAUAUGCACGGGAGAUGACGGUACCUUUCAAGAAAGCUCCGGCUAACUUCGUGCCAGCAGCCGCGGUAAUACGAAGGGAGCGAGCGUUAUUCGGGAAUAACUGGGCCGUAAAGAGUGCGUAGGUGGCAAUUUAAGUCAGUUGUUAAAGAUCACGGCUUAACCGUGAGAAUGCGAUUGGAUACUGGAUAGCUAGAGGACAAGAGAGAGAAGUGGAAUUCUUGGAGUAGCGGUAAAAUGCGUAGAUCUCAAGAGGAACACCGAAACGAAGGCAGCUUCUUGGCUUGUUUCUGACCUCAAGCACGAAAGCGUGGGGAAGCAAACAGGAUUAGAU